GCCUUAGAAAGUUUCAUUUUUACUUUCAUACAUGAAAGACCUGUGACUUUUUCUUUAAGUGCCAUCGAAUGGCUUGGAUAUUUGUUUCACCCAAAUCUCAUGUUGAAAUUUAAUCCCCAAUGUUGGAGGUGGGGCCGGGUGGGAGGUGUUUGGGUCAGGAGGGAGGAUCCCUCAUGACGCAAUGUUGUCCUCACAAUAUGAUUUCUCACGAGAUCUGGCUGUUUAAAAGUGUGUGGCACCCCAUCCCCAACCCCCGUCCACCCCUGCAGUUCCUACCCUGGCCAUGUGAUACGCCUGCUCCCCCUUUGUCUUCUGCCAUGACUGGAAGAUUCUGGAGGCCUCCCCAGAAGCAGAUGCUGGCAGUAUGCUUCCUGUAAAAGCCUGCAGAAGCACGAGCCAAUGAAACCUCUUUUCUCAAUGAAUUACCCAGCCUCAGGUUGAAGACUUCCUGCUUUUUCCUGUGCAUUCUUCAGCAGCUCUGGGUAGAACUAUGGCAGCACUUGCCAUCUGGGCCAGAGGGGAACUGCUAUUGGCUGACAGUUGCUGCCUGACCUGGAGACGUCUUGAAAGUUACACACACUUCUGGGGAAAGCCCUUGGCCAGUGACUAAACAGAUGCAUGGAUAUAACAGCCCAGCCUUCUUGUCUCUGGACAAGACGAUUUCUGUGGUGCAGUUUUCACUCAAGAGCUCCUUGUGGGAUCAGGCUGAGACUAAGCUUCUAAAACCACAUUUUGCCUUAGGUACUUCCCCUGCCAUCCGGCUUCCCUUACUCCCCUGCAGGUUUCUCCUGAGAACAUUUCCUCAAUAAGUCAUCUGUACAGAGUCCCUGUCUCAGCCUGUUUCUAGGAAGCUCAGUCUAAGACAAAUGAUGUGCGCACAUGUGAUUUUUAUAUAUUUUGUAGAUAUUGCUCAAUUGCCCUCCAUAGAGAUUGUACCAAUUUAGACUCAUCCUAGCAAUGUAAGAAAGUGUUAAGAAAAACCUUGUCAUCCAAAUUGCUCUCAGAUAUUAGUGAAACUGCUGGGCAUGGUGGCAUGUGUCAGCCACCUUGGGAGGUUGGGAUAGAAGGAUCACUGGAGGUC
rnacentral:lncRNA from 10 species